UACGAAGGGAGCUAGCGUUGUUCGGAAUCACUGGGCGUAAAGCGCACGUAGGCGGAUGUGUCAGUCAGGGGUGAAAUCCCGGAGCUCAACUUCGGAACUGCCUUUGAUACAGCACAUCUGGAGUCCGGAAGAGGUGGGUGGAAUUCCUAGUGUAGAGGUGAAAUUCGUAGAUAUUAGGAAGAACACCGGUGGCGAAGGCGGCCCACUGGUCCGGUACAGACGCUGAGGUGCGAAAGCGUGGGGAGCAAACAGG
rnacentral:rRNA from 1 species